rnacentral:tRNA from 1 species
GGGCGCUUGGUCUAGUGGUAUGACGCCUCAUUUGCAUGACUCCUAAAUGGCGAUAUACAGUAGCUUCCUGUAUAAGCAAUAUUUGAGGAGGUCCCGGGUUCAAUUCCCGGAGUGUCCA